rnacentral:tRNA from 1 species
GCCGAGAUAGUCUAGCCCGGCAAGGCGGGGGCCUCGAAAGCCUCUGGUGUUCGCACCACGGGAGUUCAAAUCUCCCUCUCGGCG